UACGUAGGGGGGCAAGCGUUGUCCGGAAUCAUUGGGCGUAAAGAGCGUGUAGGCGGCUCGGUAAGUCCGCUCUGAAAGCCCGGGGCUCAACCCCGGGAGGCGGGCGGAUACUGUCGGGCUAGAGUCCGGAAGAGGCGAGUGGAAUUCCUGGUGUAGUGGUGAAAUGCGCAGAUAUCAGGAGGAACACCAAUGGCGAAGGCAGCUCGCUGGGACGGUACUGACGCUGAGACGCGAAAGCGUGGGGAGCAAACAGG
rnacentral:rRNA from 1 species